rnacentral:lncRNA from 1 species
UGGUCCUGCGGUUCUGGAACCAGAUUUUGACCUGCGUCUCGGUGAGGCUGAGCGACAGCGCGAGGUUCAGGCGCUCGCACACGGACAGGUAGCGCGUGGCCCGGAACUUGUUCUCCAAAGCCACCAGCUGCUCGUAGGUGAAGGCGGUGCGCGCGCGCCUGGGCUUGGCGCAGCGGGGCUCCGUGCGCCGGCGCCGGGGCCGCGGGGAGUCGGGCGAGCCCGGGGAGCCCGCCAGCCCGCCGGGGGCCCGCUCCCCCGCCGCCGCCGCCGCCGCCGCCCGGGACUCGGGGGAACGCGCCGGGUCCGCUUCCAGGCGCGCGGCCCGCUCCCUCCGCCGCCGCCGCCGCCCCGCGUCCUCGGCCUCCUCCUCCUCCUCCUCGGCCUCCUCGGCCUCCGAGCCCUCCAAGGGGGACGCCGCGCCCGCGCCGCGGUCCGCAGCAUCUAGUGGAAAAGGGGCGGGUGACCAGAAGCCCCGCACGACCCAGCCCCUCCGGGUCCCCAGAACUCCUCCUCCUCCUGUUCUUUUUCAGAGCCCCCAGGUCGGCCCCUCUCCGGCAUCGCGCUCCCCCCUCCCCCAUCCCCGCGACCACACAUCCUCGCAAGCCAGGAUUUGGGGUUUAGGGGUGCGGUAUCCUCUUGCCCUUUACUCAGCUGCCGCCUAGCUGACUUCCAAGAAGUGUGUUUUGAAUGAAUGAGUGACACCUUGCAUUAAGAAAAAAUAAUGACCAUAUUGGACAAUAUUGGGAGGGUAGGAUCACUGUACGUUGAGACAUCGAAAUGUCAAGUGCGUUUAGGGCUGUGUCUCUCUGGUCGCUAGAAGCCUAUUUUGGUCUGGAACUCCUAGCAAUUAAAAAAGAAGUUAUUAAGCCCCCCCCCCCACCUUAAAGUGAAAUUCCCUCUUUCCCAUCUUCUCUCUCCUGCCGUGUUAAUAGAGUUUCAGAUUUGUGCGGGGCCGGAUCGAUAGAUGUCAUCUAUUAAAGGUAAGUUUUAAUCGAACAAUAUUAGGAUCAGACAGGGAAAGGGGGUUUGAAGUCGGUACCUGCAAGCUGCGGGCAGGAGAUAUGCAGGCGCCAGUAAUAGAAUAUCGAUCAUGGAGGUGGGGGGAGGGGAGAGCGGCCCCUCCGAGGGGCGAUCCGAACAAUUACCAGGCAGACUACCCUGGCCCAAGCGCAGCCGCCAGAGGCGCCCGGAGGCCCAGACAAUCACUGCCAAACUUGGGGAGGAGAAGCGGGGGGGCUGUGCCACAUCCAGCGUCUCUCGGACCUGCGCCCGGACUCAGCGUCUCUCCAGGGAGCCUCGUGCCCACGCUUCACCCAGCACGGAUCCUGCUGUCUUUUGUCCUACCUUCCGGGCACAAACUCUCCCAGGCUUCUCAUCAAGUGUCCACCAGAGUUAGGUCAAAAUGUUUCGAGGAGAGAGGACCACGGCGGCCUCCCCUCGCCCCACUCCAUCCCUGCUCCCACCCCAGUCAAUGGUUGGGUCUGGGGAGAGAGAGCGCUAGCGGCAUCUCUGCAGGUGUCUCUAUGGUGGGAAGGGUGGUUGGAAGUGGGCACGCGGUGCUUAAACCUGACCUCGCACUCACGAAGACCCCUCCACAUGAUUUCACCUCUGUUUCCUCAAUCAUAAAAUGGAGGCAGUAUUCAUGAUGUUCUCUACCUCGUGGGUUCUGAAGUUUUCCAUGACUUUUAUCCCCGUCUCUAGGCUAGGCCCUGGCACGUAGCGGGCGCAUUAAAUGCCCGAUAAAUGAGUGAGCCUGGAUAAUAAGGUGGACGCCCCUGUUUAGUUUCCACUGCCGAGCAAAAAAAUAGAACUGUGGCGCUUAGUGACUUGGCCGGUGAGUAGGGACCAGCUUUGGUAGGCAAAUCCCUGACCCAGGAUGUUGGCGGCCUCUUUUCUGCCUCAACUCAGUUCCGACACAGAGGCAAGGCAACACUUUGCACCUCGUCCCGGGUGGCCUUCUCCCUUUGGCGAACGCCCCGCUAAGGGCCGCUCACUCUGUCCCUGGUUGCCCUCCCCCUCUCCCCCCGCGCGCCUCCAACUCCCCCAUGGCAUCAUCUGGGCUGAGGCUUCCCGGAACUGGGGACCGCUUCGCAUCCUUACCAGGGGUCUCCCGCUGCCGAGCUGAGUCCCCCGGGCUGGCGUCCUUCCCCGCUUCGGCCUCUGCCAAACUUUUCUUGGCUUCCCGGGGAGCAGGACGCACGGCCGGGAGCGCAGCGCGGGUGAAUUUCUGCGGGUCCAGGAUGUCCAGGACAGAGAAGGAAAUCUUGUGGUGGGCGGGAGCCGCCUUGGCCCCGCCGUCCUGCCAUGCCAGCAUGCCCGCCGCCCGCGGGCCCGAGGCCGGCGGCGCGGGGUCCGGGAUGGCCGCGCUUGGGCUUGCCUUCGGCUGUGGCGGGGGGG